rnacentral:rRNA from 1 species
AUUGAACGCUGGCGGCAGGCCUAACACAUGCAAGUCGAACGAGUGGCGGACGGGUGAGUAAUGUCUGGGAAACUGCCUGAUGGGGGGGGAUAACUACUGGAAACGGUAGCCACUACCGCAUACCAUCGGAUGUGCCCAGAUGGGAUUAGCUAGUAGGCGGGGUAACGGCUCACCUAGGCGACGAUCCAUAGCUGGUCUGAGAGGAUGACGAACCACACGGGAACUGAUACACGUUCCAGACUCCGAAGGGAGGCAUCAGUGGGGAAUAUUGCACAAUGGGCGCGAGCCUGAGGCAGCCAGGCCGCGUGUAGGAGGAAGGACUUCGGGUUGUAAAGUACUUUCAGCGGAGAGGCGUUACCCGCAGAAGAAGCGCAGGCUAACUCCGUGCCAGCAGCCGGGGUAAUAC